AUUAGAUUAAUGAGUGAGAAAGAGAGCGUGAGUGAAAAAUCAUCUCUUCUCUCACAGAUUAUCUUUUUUUUUAUAUACCAGAUCAGUUUUUUUUAAAAAAAAAAUAAGCGUGAACUAAAUCAUCAUUACUUCUCUGAUAAACCAGAUUUCAUUACUUCUUCUGCCAGCGUCCUUUCAUCUUCCAAGAAAUAUUUUCUUCCAAAUCUUCUCAAAAUCUCCCAUCUCUCCAGACUAAAAAUCCCUGCAAUCAUUUCACUCUUCUCUUCCUUUAAUAUAUAUAUCCUCCUUCCCUCACUCAAAGUUCUUUUCACUGUUCCUGCACAAUUAUCCUCCAGACAACAGAACUUGGAAAAAGAACUGAAUCAGUUAAGCCAAAACAACAAAGACACCAAAAAUCCUCUUACUAAAAAGGUUCGUUCCUUCCCCUUUUUAUUAUAGAACUUGCAUUACUCUUUAGCAUAGCACCAUUACAAGAACAUAGAUCUCUAGCUCUUAUACCACAUCAAUGACCAUGAUAUAAUCUUACUCUAUGUACUGCUCUAAACAAAACAAAGAAAAAAAAAAGAAAGGGAGAAGAAUCUGUAACAAACCAAGAACUCUUUCAUAGCCUCAAAAAUUCUGAACUUCAACUCCAAGACUCAAUUUUUUUUAUCCCAAGAACUUGCUCUUCAUUUCAACCUACAAGUAUCGAUUCUUUCUCCUUGAUUGGGACGGGUCUGGAACGUGAGUGUGUGAGGAGUGGAUUUUCUGUCCCCUCGAUGGCUGCCGGAGAAGACGGCCGGGCAGAGGCGAGGUAGCGCGAAGAACGCCGGCGCCGGAGGGAAGGAGAUGAAGGCUGCAGCUCCUCCCCCUCUUUGACCGCUGCUGCCAGAGGAUUCAGGAGGAGGGAC